UAGGGAAUCUUCCGCAAUGGGCGAAAGCUUGACGGAGCAACGCCGCGUGAGUGAUGAAGGUCUUCGGAUCGUAAAACUCUGUUAUUAGGGAAGAACAAAUGUGUAAGUAACUAUGCACGUCUUGACGGUACCUAAUCAGAAAGCCACGGCUAACUACGUGCCAGCAGCCGCGGCAAUACGUAGGUGGCAAGCGUUAUCCGGAAUUAUUGGGCGUAAAGCGCGCGUAGGCGGUUUUUUAAGUCUGAUGUGAAAGCCCACGGCUCAACCGUGGAGGGUCAUUGGAAACUGGAACACUUGAGUGCAGAAGAGGAAAGUGGAAUUCCCUGUGUAGCGGUGAAAUGCGCAGAGAUAUGGAGGAACACCAGUGGCGAAGGCGACUUUCUGGUCUGUAACUGACGCUGAUGUGCGAAAGCGUGGGGAUCAAACAGG
rnacentral:rRNA from 1 species